rnacentral:rRNA from 1 species
GUAAGCUACUAAGAGCGAACGGUGGAUGCCUUGGCUAGUAGAGGCGAUGAAAGACGUGCCAGACUGCGAUAAGUCUCGGGGAGCCGUCAAGGGGCUUUGAUCCGGGAAUUUCUGAAUGGGGCAACCCAAUACAUAGCGAUAUGUGUUACCAUUAAUGGAGCCAACGCGGGGAACUGAAACAUCUAAGUACCCACAGGAAGAGAAAUCAAUAGAGAUUACGCUAGUAGCGGCGAGCGAACGCGUAAGAGGGCAAACCACUAGUUUACUAGUGGGGUUGUAGGACUGCAACAUAGACUAGGAUCUGAUAAUAGAACAAUCUGGAAAGGUUAGGCAUAGAGGGUGAUACUCCCGUAUAUGAAAUCACAUCCUUACUUAGCGGUAUCCUGAGUAGGACGGGACACGUGAAAUCCUGUCUGAAGCCGGGUCGACCACGAUCCAACCCUAAAUACUACUACUAGACCGAUAGCGUACAAGUACCGUGAGGGAAAGGUGAAAAGAACGGCGGUGAGCCGAGUGAAAUAGAACCUGAAACCGUUUGCUUACAAUCAUUCAGAGCACUAUGCUAUACUCUUUAAAAUUAAUCCAGCUUGGCUUUUUAGCCCUUUUUUAUGAAACUGCGACUGCGGCAGCCAGAUACGGCUAGCCUUGCCUUGUUUCAUAAAAAAUCAUCUAAAAAUCCUGCGCAUUUGAAAUUCUAAAUUUUGAUCUGAUAAAAUUUAAUCAUAAAUGACACAAACAAAAUUUUAUAGUCUAAAUUUAGAGAUAACGAUUAGCGAUUAGUUUUAAUGAGUAUAGCAGUGUGAUGGACUGCCUUUUGCAUAAUGAGCCUGCGAGUUGUGGUGUCUGGCGAGGUUAAGGAAACCCGGAGCCGUAGCGAAAGCGAGUCUUAAUAGGGCGAUUAGUCAGAUGCUGCAGACCCGAAACGAUGUGAUCUAUCCAUGAGCAGGUUGAAGCCGGUGUAAGAGCCGGUGGAGGACCCAACCGACGGCCGUUGAAAAGGCUCCGGAUGACUUGUGGAUAGGGGUGAAAGGCCAAUCAAACAUCGUGAUAGCUGGUUCUCUCCGAAAUAUAUUGAGGUAUAGCGUCGUGUAGUAGUUAUAAGGGGUAGAGCACUGAAUGGGCUAGGGCAUACACCAAUGUACCAAACCCUAUCAAACUCCGAAUACUUAUAGCGUAACCACGGCAGUCAGGCGGCGAGUGAUAAAAUCCGUCGUCAAGAGGGAAACAACCCGGACUAACAGCUAAGGUCCCCAAAUCUCAUUUAAGUGGAAAACGAUGUGAAGUUACUGAAACAACCAGGAGGUUGGCUUAGAAGCAGCCAUCCUUUAAAGAUAGCGUAAUAGCUCACUGGUCUAGUGAUUUUGCGCGGAAAAUAUAACGGGGCUAAAAUGAGUACCGAAGCUUUAGACUUGCACUUAAUCAUUUAUACUUGGCUUAGCUUUUGAGCGUCUUUAAAUGAGCUCGUAAAAAUAAAUGCUCACGAACUAUAUGUUCGCUCCGCUUUAUUUUUACAUCGCAACAUUUAAAUCCAUCUCAAAACAAGCGAAGCGCUUUUUGCGGAAGCAAAAAUGUUUCUUUGAAAAAUCCUGCGCCAUCUUGAGUUCAAAUUUGAACUAAAUAUCUUGAUCUAAAUUUUAUAAAUCUCAAAAUUUCUUAGAAUUUUAAAAUUUAGCAACAAAAAGCAAAAAGACAAGCCUAAGAAAAGUAUAAAUCAUUAAGUGCAAGUGGUAGGAGAGCGUUCCAAUCAGCGUCGAAGCCGUACCGGUAAGGAGCGGUGGAGCGGUUGGAAGUGAGCAUGCAGGCAUGAGUAGCGAUAAAAUACGUGAGAAUCGUAUUCGCCGUAAACCCAAGGUUUCCUACGCGAUGCUCGUCAUCGUAGGGUUAGUCGGGUCCUAAGCAAAGUCCGAAAGGGGUAUGCGAUGGAAAAUCGGUUAAUAUUCCGAUACCGAUAUCAGUGUGCGACGGAAGGACGCUUAAAGUUAGUGGAGCUAGCGGAUGGAAGUGCUAGUCUAAGGAAGUAGGUUGAGUUAUAGGCAAAUCCGUAACUCUUUAUCCGAGAUCUCAAAGGCUUCUGACGCUCUUCGGAGUAGAUGAAGAAUCCAUGAUACUAUCGAGCCGAGAAAAGUUUCUAAGUUUAGCUGAUAUCGCCCGUACCGUAAACCGACACAGGUGGGUGGGAUGAGUAUUCUAAGGCGCGUGGAAGAACUCUCUUUAAGGAACUCUGCAAAAUAGCACCGUAUCUUCGGUAUAAGGUGUGCCUAGCUUCGUUAAGAAUUUACUUCGUAAGCGAAGAAGGUUACAACAAAGAGUCCCUCCCGACUGUUUACCAUAAACACAGCACUCUGCUAACUCGUAAGAGGAUGUAUAGGGUGUGACGCCUGCCCGGUGCUCGAAGGUUAAUUGAUGAUGUUAGCUUACGCAAAGCAUCUGAUCGAAGCCCGAGUAAACGGCGGCCGUAACUAUAACGGUCCUAAGGUAGCGAAAUUCCUUGUCGGUUAAAUACCGACCUGCAUGAAUGGCGUAACGAGAUGGGAGCUGUCUCAAAGAGGGAUCCAGUGAAAUUGUAGUGGAGGUGAAAAUUCCUCCUACCCGCGGCAAGACGGAAAGACCCCGUGGACCUUUACUAUAGCUUGACACUGCUACUUGGAUAAAGAUGCGCAGGAUAGGUGGGAGGCUUUGAUUCGUAGAUCUCGGUUUACGAUGAGCCAUUGUUGAGAUACCACUCUUCUUUAUUCGGGUAGCUAACUAGCCUAAGUUAUCCUUAGGUAGGACAAUGUCUGGUGGGUAGUUUGACUGGGGCGGUCGCCUCCCAAAAUGUAACGGAGGCUUACAAAGGUUGGCUCAAAGCGGUUGGAAAUCGCUUGCAGAGUAUAAAGGCAAAAGCCAGCUUAACUGCGAGACAUACACGUCGAGCAGAGACGAAAGUCGGUCUUAGUGAUCCGGUGGUUCUGUGUGGAAGGGCCAUCGCUCAAAGGAUAAAAGGUACCCCGGGGAUAACAGGCUGAUCUCCCCCAAGAGCUCACAUCGACGGGGAGGUUUGGCACCUCGAUGUCGGCUCAUCGCAUCCUGGGGCUGUAGUCGGUCCCAAGGGUUGGGCUGUUCGCCCAUUAAAGCGGUACGCGAGCUGGGUUCAGAACGUCGUGAGACAGUUCGGUCCCUAUCUGCCGUGGGCGUAAGAAGAUUGAGGAGAGUUGACCCUAGUACGAGAGGACCGGGUUGAACCGACCACUGGUGUACCGGUUGUUCUGCCAAGAGCACCGCCGGGUAGCUAAGUCGGGAUGCGAUAAGAGCUGAAAGCAUCUAAGCUCGAAGCCGACUCCAAGAUGAAUCUUCUUUUAAGAGCUCUAGUAGACUACUAGUUUGAUAGGCCGGAUGUGUAAUGGAUGAAAGUCCUUUAGCUGACCGGUACUAAUAGCUCGUUUGCUUAUCUUU